GGGGGACAGGGAGGAUGGUAGAUGCUUUCCUUUUUGGUGGUGUAAAUGAGUUCUCCCCAGUGGGGACGUUUCACUGGGGCUCUGGUACCAUUGAGCCCCACCCGCAGCUGUCAGAGGGGCCCCAAAUUGUGAUGGGGCUGCAGAGACGUGGGCCAGAAGGUUCACCCAGGCACGCCUGGGAUCUUUGUGAACUGAUAAAAGCCUCCAAUGCUGGGAAGUUUUCAUGGCAGUCAAGGCACGGAUCUGAUCUCUGGGGUGAGCAGAGAGAGCAGUGCUGGUAAUUUAGUGGGCAGAAGGCAUCUCUUCUUAGAAACCUCCUCAGAAGCACCUUAAAUCUGAGUAAACCUAAUUCAUAACCACAAAGCAAGGAGAAGGGAAAGAGCCAGGAGGGAGGGGAUGGAAGGGACACCUCAUCACACCUCACUCUGCAUUGCCACACCAUCAGGGCACUGCUGGGUGCUGGUGCAGGGUGUUACAACCCAUGGGCUGCUACACCCCAUGCAGGUGCUACUGCCUGUGCAGGGACUCUGUUCUCACCUGGGGAAGAGCAUGGAUUGCUGGUGUGUCAAGGCACAAUACAGGGCAUCGAGGGGAUUACUGCCAAGGGAAUCAACAAGCCAGGAGCCUGUCCAGCCAUGAUGAACGCCUGCUCCUCAGUUCUGCUCAUCCAUAACUCACAACAGCUCCCAGUGGUCAGCGUGACAGAGGCUGGGAGCAGCCUGCUGCAUUCUCCUUUGGCAGGGAUCAGCCCUUUGGCUGCAAAUCCAAACCCAGAGCACCCAACUACGUGCCAGGGCUGAGCGAGGCCUUCCUCCUGCAGCUGUGGUGCAGAAGCAAAAGCCAUUCCCUCCUGGGGAGGGCGUCCCAUGGAGCAGCGAAGCACGUGCUGAUGGCCAUCCCUCUGCACAGAGCUCCUCAAACACCUUGCACCUGGUCAGUAGGCACUCAAGCCCUGCAGAUUUAGCGCAGCUCAGCGCUUAGAGCCACGCUGGGUGCUCAAGCCCUGGAGGAGUGGACAGGCUUCAGCCGCUUUGCCAGCACCGACUCUCAAGCAGUCAAUCAAAGCAUCAGCUUGAACGUGUUAAAGGCCCGUGUCUGUCCUUAUUAUAAUCACAGCACUACACCUUGUCGCCGCGCGUGC
rnacentral:lncRNA from 1 species